rnacentral:rRNA from 1 species
AACGAACGCUGGCGGCAGGCUUAACACAUGCAAGUCGAGCGCGUAGCAAUACGAGCGGCAGACGGGUGAGUAACGCGUGGGAAUCUACCGUAUCCUACGGAAUAGCUCUGGGAAACUGGAAGUAAUACCGUAUACGCCCUAACGGGGAAAGAUUUAUCGGGGUAUGAUGAGCCCGCGUUGGAUUAGCUAGUUGGUGGGGUAAAGGCCUACCAAGGCGACGAUCCAUAGCUGGUCUGAGAGGAUGAUCAGCCACAUUGGGACUGAGACACGGCCCAAACUCCUACGGGAGGCAGCAGUGGGGAAUAUUGGACAAUGGGCGCAAGCCUGAUCCAGCCAUGCCGCGUGAGUGAUGAAGGUCUUAGGAUUGUAAAGCUCUUUCACCGGAGAAGAUAAUGACGGUAUCCGGAGAAGAGGCCCCGGCUAACUUCGUGCCAGCCGCCGCGGUAAAAC